AUUGAACGCGGCGGCAUGCUUCACACAUGCAAGUCGGACGGCAGCGGGGGUGCUUGCACCGCCGGCGAGUGGCGAACGGGUGAGUAACAUAUUGGAAUGUACCGAGUAGUGGGGGAUAACCAAUCGAAAGAUUGGCUAAUACCGCAUACGUCCUAAGGGGGAAAGCAGGGGAUCUUCGGACCUUGCGCUAUUUGAGCAGCCAAUAUCUGAUUAGCUAGUUGGCGGGGUAAAGGCCCACCAAGGCGACGAUCAGUAGCGGGUCUGAGAGGAUGAUCCGCCACACUGGGACUGAGACACGGCCCAGACUCCUACGGGAGGCAGCAGUGGGGAAUUUUGGACAAUGGGGGCAACCCUGAUCCAGCCAUGCCGCGUGUCUGAAGAAGGCCUUCGGGUUGUAAAGGACUUUUGUUAGGGAAGAAAAGGGAAGUGCUAAUACCACUUUUUGCUGACG
rnacentral:rRNA from 1 species